ensembl:snRNA U1 U1 spliceosomal RNA
GCACUUACAUGGCAAGGGAGAUACUAUCAUUAUCAAGGUGCUUUUCCCAGGGUGAAGUUCAUCUAUGGCAUGCCAGGUGUGCUGACCCCUGUGACUUCUCCAAAUGCUGGAAACUCGACUGCAUAAUUUGUGGUAGUUGGGACUGCAAUUGCACUUUCUCC